rnacentral:rRNA from 1 species
UAUUAUUAAUUAKGUAAAUUUGAAUGUCAGGGUAGUAAUAGAUAUGGUCUUGAAACCCAAAGAAUUUGGCGGUAUUUUAGUCCUUUCAGAGGAACCUGUUCUGUAAUUGAUAAUACACGAUUUAUUUAACUUAAUUUUGUUAUCAGUUUAUAUACCGCCGUCAGUAAGAUUAUCUUGUGGAGAGUAUAAAAUUUCAUUAUAUUUAAUUGGAUAAUAUGUCAGGUCAAGGUGUAGCUAAUAAUUAAGUAGAAAUGGGUUACAAUAAAAUUAUUUAUUGGAUAGUAAGCUGUAAUGGUUACUUGAAAUUGGAUUUGAUUGUAAAUGGGUUUAAAUUGGCUUGUUGAUUAAGGCUCUAGAAUGUGCACAUAUCGCCCGUCGCUCUCGUUAUAAGAUGAG